ACUAAUUACUUGUUUUAUACUAGAAUAGUUAUUACCUAUUUUUGGCACAAUAUUUGUGUAAGCAUUUAUCACGGCGUUAUUUUGGUAGAUCUUAGGCCGAAUAGGAGUACUGAAAAGCUAUGGCUUUGUAGUUGUUAAGUUAGAAAUUUUCCUUCUAGCUUUCUUUACUGUUAAAAUUUUUUUUUAUUUACCUUCAGUUUUUUAUUGAAUGUUUUAUUAUUUUUUUUUUCAGGCUAACAGGAUAGGAUCGAUUUUGUCGAAUAAAGUUCUAGAUAUUAUUUUUGAUUAUGACAUUAUUAUAUCUAUAUGUCUUGACCAAAUUACKUGCCASCAGUCGCGGUAAUACGUAGAAGACUAGUGUUAUUCAUAUUUAGUAGGUUUAAAGGGUACCUAGACGGUAAAAGUUCAUCUUAAACAGGAUAUGUCUUUACUAGAGUUUUAUAUAAGGAGGUGAGUAUUUGUGGAGUAGAGUUGAAAUUCUUUGAUACCAUAACGACUGGUUAAGGCGAAAGCAACCUUUUAUCUAAUAACUGACGUUGAGGGACGAAGGCUCGGGUCACGAACAGGAUUAGAUACCCUAGUAGUCCAAGCUGAAAAUGAUGAAUGCCAUAGGUUAGGGUGCACCCAUUAGCAUACCGCUAGCGGGCUUAUCUUUAGUCUAUAAAUGAAAGUGUAAGCAUUUCACCUCAAGAGUAAUGUGGCAACGCAGGAACUGAAAUCAUUAGACCGUUUCUGAAACCAGUAGUGAAGUAUGUUAUUUAAUUCGUAAGUACGCGAAAAACCUUACCACAAUUUGAAUAUUAUCAUAAGUGUCUUUUAUCUUUUUUUUAUAAAAAAGUUUUACAACUUUAGAUAUUACAAGCGUUGCACGGCUGUCUUCAGUUAAUGUCGUGAGAUCUAGGUUGAGUCCUUUAAAUUAACGGAAGCCCUUGCUUUAUUUUAGCACAUUUUUAGGUCUUAUUAGCUAAAGUGAUUAGGGUUAUUGUCCUUAUUUAUUUUUUGUCUAAG
rnacentral:rRNA from 1 species